UCUAAUCAGCCUGAGUUCCUCUGGAGAAAGCAUUCUUUUACAAUGUGACAGGAUGAAGGAUGGACAGGAGCAGAGCAGCAAGCCUAAAGAUGACACCAACGUGCAAGAAGGCAGAGAAAUUGUAUACAUGAUGUUUUCUAAAAGAGUUGAUGCAAAGUGCUCUCACUACAAGAAUGAGAAGAAAAGAAGAGAAAGAGAAAGGUGUGGGUUCAGAUGAGAGGUGGUGAGGUAGUGCGAUUGUGGGCAUCACGUCACCCUGUACAUCAAAUGUGUAUUUCAUUUUAUGUUUUUCAGAGAAAACAGUUUAUUGCCCAGCAAUUAAAAGUAUUCAAAUGUGUGA